rnacentral:tRNA from 1 species
AGAAGCUUAGGUUAAAGAUAAACCAAAGGCCUUCAAAGCCUAAAAUAGGGCCAACUCAGUCCUAGCUCCUG